AAAUUGAAGAGUUUGAUCAUGGCUCAGAUUGAACGCUGGCGGCAGGCCUAACACAUGCAAGUCGAACGGUAACAGGAAACAGCUUGCUGUUUCGCUGACGAGUGGCGGACGGGUGAGUAAUGUCUGGGAAACUGCCUGAUGGAGGGGGAUAACUACUGGAAACGGUAGCUAAUAC
rnacentral:rRNA from 1 species